UUACCGCAAUUUGUAUGGAGUUGGAGCGUUUGCCUACGUUUGCCGCUAGGGGCGCUGUUCCAACUGCA
rnacentral:pre_miRNA from 1 species